CUUUAUUGGAGAGUUUGAUCCUGGCUCAGGAUGAACGCUGGCGGUGUGCCUAAUACAUGCAAGUCGAGCGAAUGGAUUAAGAGCUUGCUCUUAUGAAGUUAGCGGCGGACGGGUGAGUAACACG
rnacentral:rRNA from 1 species